ensembl:lncRNA
GGAGGAUGAGAACCAUACAAUAGAGUGAAACAUGCUCCGGCUCGUGACCCCAUCAGCAGCCGUGCCGUCUCAAGCAGUGGUUCUCAAACCUUUUCUACGAGUGGACCCCCUCUAAGCGUCCAGUGAAUUGGACUCUUCCGGAGACAGGAGUGUAUUGUACACAUUAUCUGUGUGGUCACUGUUGUUAACGGCGUCUGGAUAGACCCAGGUGCAGCUCAUGGAAGAGGUGUUUCUUCGCAGCAGAACAGCUUAUGAAUGCAGCUCAAACAAUCAGAUAUAACCUGUGGUUCCACCCUCACCUCUGAUUGGCCUCUGCCAUUAAAUCCUCCGUCUUCUCCU